rnacentral:rRNA from 1 species
UUGACCGUGUCAAGGUAGCAUAAUCAUUUGUCUUUUAAUUAAAGGCUUGUAUGAAUGGUUGGAUGAGAUAUAAUCUAUUUUUAUUUAAUUAAAAAUGAAUUUUAAUUUUUAGUAAAAAUGCUAAAAUAAAAAAUAUAGACGAGAAGACCCUAUAAAUCUUUAUUAUUUUUUUUAUUAAUUUAUUAAUAGAAAAAAAAAUUUAUUAUUAGAAAAAUAAUUUUAUUGGGGUGAUAAUGAAAUUUAAUAAACUUUUAUUUUAUUUUAUAAAUAUAAUUAAUUUAAUGAUCCAUUUUUAAUGAUUAUAAAAUUAAGUUACUUUAGGGAUAACAGCGUAAUUAUUUUAAAGAGUUCAUAUCGAUAAAAUAGUUUGCGACCUCGAUGUUGAAUUAAGAGUAAGUUUAGGUGUAGAAAGUUA